AGUAUCUGGAUCUGUAAAAGCAGUAAACAGUCCUGUGGCGCCUUUUAGACUGACAGAUGUAUUGGAGCGUGAGCUUUCAUGGGUGAAUAUCCACUUAGCAA